rnacentral:tRNA from 1 species
GCGAGUGUAGCACAGUGGCAGUGCGCCUGCUUCCCAAGCAGGUUACGAGGGUUCGAUUCCCUUCACUCGCU